rnacentral:pre_miRNA from 4 species
UCUUAUGGGUGAACAAAGAAAGGGGCUUCUUGAAAUAGAAUUUACUCCUGGUGAAAAUACUAAGAA